ACGAACGCUGGCGGCGUGCCUAACACAUGCAAGUCGAACGCGAAAGAGGGGGACCCCUUGAGUAAGUGGCGAACGGGUGAGUAACACGUGAGGAACCUGCCUUCAACGAUGGGGAUACACUCGUCGAACGAUGGUGCUAAUACCCAAUAAGACCACAGGUCUUCAUGGAAGCAUGAGGUCAAAGGUAGCCUCUCUUAUCAAGCUAUCGGUUAGAAGAUGGGCCUUCGCGCACCAUUAGCUAGUUGGUCGGUGUAAUGGACCUACCAAGGCAACGAUGGUAGCUGGUCUGAGAGGAUGAUCAGCCACACUGGAACUGAGACUACGGUCCAGACUCCUACGGGAGGCAGCAGUCGAGGAAUCUUGCGCAAUGGGGGAAAGCCUGACCGCAGCAACGCCGCGUGGAGUGAUGAAGGCCUCUGGGUUCGUAAAGCUCCUUUGCUGGAGGAGAAACGACGAUUCAGGGGUAGCAAGCCCGGUAAGCUUGACGGUACCCUCAAAGAAGCAUCCGGCUAACUCCUGUGCCAGCAGCCGCGGUAACACGGGGGGGCUAGCGUUGUUCGGAAUCACUGGGCGUAAAGGGCGUGCUAGGCGGUCUAGUAAGUGGAUGGUGAAAUCCCUCGGCUCAACCGGGAAGGACCUGCAUGCCAAACUGGCAAUUGCUUAGAGUAUGCAAGAGGGAUGAGGGAAUUCCUGGUGUAGCGGUGAAAAUGCGUAGAUAUCGGGAGGAACACCUGUGGCGAAAGGCGGCCCCCUGGUUGGCCAUACUGACGCUGAUACGCGAAAGCGUAGGGGAGCAAACAGGAUUAGAUACCCCUGGUAGUCCACGCCUGUAAACGAUGGGAUCACUAGGUGUUGGAGGCUAUCGACCCCCUCAGGUGCCGCAGCUAACGCAUUAAGUGAUCCCGCCUGGGGAGUACGGUCCGCAAGGAUUAAAACUCAAAGGAAUUGACGGGGGCCCGCACAAGCGGUGGAGCAUGUGGUUCAAUUCGACGCAACGCGAAGAACCUUACCCAGGACUUAGACAUGCACGGUGGACGCCGUAGGAAACUAGGCGUUCUCCCUUCGGGGCUGGGUUCACAGGUGCUGCAUGGCUGUCGUCAGCUCGUGUCGUGAGGUGUUGGGUUAAGUCCCGCAACGAGCGCAACCCUUGUCCCUAGUUGCUAACGAUAAGUGCUGAGCACUCUAGGGAGACUGCCGGGGUUAAGCCGGAGGAAGGUGGGGAUGACGUCAAGUCCUCAUGGCCCUUACUGUCAGGGGCCUACACACGUGCUACAAUGGGCCGGUACAAAGGGUUGCCGAUAACCCGCGAGGGGGAGGCAAUCCCAAAAAGCCGGUCUCAGUUCGGAUUGGCAGUCUGCAACUCGACUCCAUGAAGUUGGAAUCGCUAGUAAUCGCGGAUCAGCACGCAGCGGUGAAUACGUUUCCCGGGCCUUGUACACACCGCCCGUCAACCACGGAAAGUUGGUAGUACCGAAGUCGGUGUGCCAACCCGAAAGGGAGGCUAGCCGCCUAUGGUAUGACUGGUGAUUGGGGCU
rnacentral:rRNA from 1 species